AAUAUUGCACAAUGGGGGAAACCCUUAUGCAGCGACGCUGCGCGAGUGAAGAAGUAUUUCGGUAGGUAUAGCUCUAUCAGCAGGGAAGACAAGGAGGGUACCUGACUAAGAAGCACCGGCUAACUACGUGCCAGCAGCAGCGGUAAUACGUAGGGGGCAAGCGUUAUUCCGAUUUACUUGGUGUAAAGGGAGCGUAGGUGGUUUGGUAAGUUAGAUGUGAAAGCCCGGAGCUCAACCCCGGGACUGCAUUUGAAACUAUCAAACUAGAGUGCAGGAGGGGUAAGUGGAAAUCCUAGUGUAGCGGGGAAAUGCGUAGAUAUUAGGAGGAACACCAGUGGCGAAGGCGGCUUACUGGACUGUAACUGACACUGAGGCUCGAAAGAGUGGGGAGCAAAC
rnacentral:rRNA from 1 species